rnacentral:rRNA from 1 species
UACGUAGGGUGCAAGCGUUAAUCGGAAUUACUGGGCGUAAAGCGUGCGCAGGCGGUGAUGUAAGACAGAUGUGAAAUCCCUCGGCUCAACCGAGGAACUGCGUCCAAUACUGGUGGGCUUGAAUCCGGGAGAGGGAUGUGGAAUUCCAGGUGUAGCGGUGAAAUGCGUAGAUAUCUGGAGGAACACCGGUGGCGAAGGCGGCAUCCUGGACCGGUAUUGACGCUGAGGCGCGAAAGCUAGGGGAGCAAACGGG